ACGCUUCAGUAGCAUGUGUACUAAAAUUGGAAAGAUCCAGAGAUAAUCAUCAUGGCCCCUGUGGCAAGGAUGACACACAAAUUCAUGAAGCAUUUCAUAUUUUA